AAUAUAGUAGACAACAAGCACUAAAACCCAUCUCAAACCUAGACUAUACCUUUUAUCUUUGCUAAGAGAGCACAAGUACCUCUGCUUUAUAUUUUUGUUGAAAGAGCAGAGCACUUUUCUUAUCACUUAUAGUGGAAAUAAGGUUUGUUUUCGAGAUUCUUCAUAUAGGUUUGAGGUUUACUAAAUACAAAGUUACAAACAUCAUCAGAUCUGAAAUUCUAUGAUGAAUUCUCAUCAUGGAAGUUUCAGAAUGUGUUUCUUGAACUUACAGCUUGCAUAGUGAUGAUUUAAUGGAAACAUUACAUGUCUAGUGUAUAGAAGUGCUUAAUGCAGCAGGAGUGGAAACCUUUCCUAGUUUCUUAGAUAUGCAACUGAAAUGGGGCUCAUGCUAGUUAUAUACAUCCAUUCGUUUAAUAACUUCCUGCUGAUGGUUGAGGAAGUCCAACCUUAAACUAGAUCAAUCUGUUCUCUUCAAACAUGUGGUAGGUGUAGAAGAGAAGCUUAUGCGAAGUUCUAUGAAUUCACUGAGGUUUCUUGAUGACUGAAAACCAUUUAAAGUAAUGAAAAA
rnacentral:lncRNA from 1 species